rnacentral:rRNA from 1 species
AUUGAACGCUGGCGGCAUGCCUUACACAUGCAAGUCGAACGGUAACAGGUUAAGCUGACGAGUGGCGAACGGGUGAGUAAUGUAUCGGAACGUGCCCAGUCGUGGGGGAUAACUACUCGAAAGAGUGGCUAAUACCGCAUACGACCUGAGGGUGAAAGCGGGGGACCGUAAGGCCUCGCGCGAUUGGAGCGGCCGAAAUCGGAUUAGCUAGUUGGUGGGGUAAAAGCCCACCAAGGCGACGAUCUGUAGCUGGUCUGAGAGGACGACCAGCCACACUGGGACUGAGACACGGCCCAGACUCCUACGGGAGGCAGCAGUGGGGAAUUUUGGACAAUGGGCGCAAGCCUGAUCCAGCAAUGCCGCGUGCAGGAAGAAGGCCUUCGGGUUGUAAACUGCUUUUGUACGGAGCGAAAAGGCUCCCUCUAAUACAGGGGGCUCAUGACGGUACCGUAAGAAUAAGCACCGGCUAACUACGUGCCAGCCGCCGCGGUAAAAC